rnacentral:lncRNA from 1 species
AUGGCUCUGCGCGACCCUGUGGCCGUGGGCCUCGAUGAGGGCCACAGAGUUACCAAAAAUGGGAGCAAGCCUGGCCCAGCCACCGCCAAAGUGGGCAACUGACCAAGCACACCAAGUUCAUGCGGGACAUUAUUCCAAAGAUGUAUGGCUUUACUCCCUACGAGCUGGCGCGCCAUGGAGUUGCUCAAGGUUUCCAAGGACAAACGGCCCUCAGGUUCAUCAAGAAGAGAGUGGGGGACACGUCCGCACCAAGAUGAAGAGAGAAGAGCUAAGCAACGCCCUGCCCGCCAUGAAGAAAGUGGCCACAAAGAAGGACUGA